rnacentral:misc_RNA from 1 species
GAUGAAGAACGUAGCGAAAUGCGAUAAGUAAUGUGAAUUGCAGAAUUCAGUGAAUCAUCGAAUCUUUGAACGCACAUUGCGCCCGCCAGUAUUCUGGCGGGCAUGCCUGUUCGAGCGUCAUUUCAACCAUCAAGCCCUGCUUGCGUUGGGGUCCUGCGGCUGCCCGCAGGCCCUGAAAACCAGUGGCGGGCUCGCUAGUCACACCGAGCGUAGUAGCAUACAUCUCGCUCUGGGCGUGCUGCGGGUUCCGGCCGUUAAACCACCUUUUAACCCAAGGUUGACCUCGGAUCAGGUAGGAAGACCCGCUGAACUUAAGCAUAUCAAUAAGCGGAGGA